rnacentral:rRNA from 1 species
UUGUAAGUCUUUAAGAGCAAACGGUGGAUGCCUUGGCAUCUGGAGCCGAAGAAGGACGUAGCAAUCUGCGAUAAGCCUCGGGGAGCUGAUAAGCGAGCUGUGAUCCGUGGAUUUCCGAAUGGGGAAACCCCGCCAGGCGCAUUCGUGUGUCCUGGUGACUCCCGCCUGAAUAUAUAGGGCGGGUAGAGGGAACGUGGGGAAGUGAAACAUCUCAGUACCCACAGGAAGAGAAAACAAAAGUGAUUCCGUUAGUAGUGGCGAGCGAACGCGGAUGAGGCUAAACCGAGUGUGUGUGAUAGCCGGCAGGUGUUGCAUGUUCGGGGUUGUGGGACCUUGUGUUCUCCUGCUGCCGCAGGGGUGACGUUAGAGAAGCGUGUAGACGAACGGUUUUGAAUGGCCGGCCGGAGAGGGUGUGAGUCCCGUAGUCGAAACAUGUGUUCUCGCGUUACGAGUGUUCCCGAGUAGCACCGGGCCCGUGAAAUCCGGUGUGAAUCUGUCAGGACCACCUGAUAAGCCUAAAUACUCCCAGAUGACCGAUAGCGGACAAGUACCGUGAGGGAAAGGUGAAAAGUACCCCGGGAGGGGAGUGAAAUAGUACCUGAAACCGUUUGCUUACAAACCGUCGGAGCGACUUUAAUUGUUGUGACGGCGUGCCUUUUGAAGAAUGAGCCUGCGAGUUAGUGAUACGUGGCGAGGUUAACCCGUGUGGGGUAGCCGUAGCGAAAGCGAGUCUGAAUAGGGCGAUCGAGUCGCGUGUUCUAGACCCGAAGCGAAGUGAUCUAUCCAUGGCCAGGCUGAAGCGACGGUAAGACGUCGUGGAGGGCCGAACCCACUUAGGUUGAAAACUGAGGGGAUGAGCUGUGGAUAGGGGUGAAAGGCCAAUCAAACUUCGUGAUAGCUGGUUCUCUCCGAAAUGCAUUUAGGUGCAGCGUUGCGUGUUUCUUGCCGGAGGUAGAGCUACUGGAUGGCCGAUGGGCCUCAACGGGUUACUGACGUCAGCCAAACUCCGAAUGCCGGUAAGUGAGAGCGCAGCAGUGAGACUGUGGGGGAUAAGCUUCAUAGUCGAGAGGGAAACAACCCAGAUCGCCAACUAAGGUCCCUAAGCGUGUGCUAAGUGGAAAAGGAUGUGGAGUUGCUUUGACAACCAGGAGGUUGGCUUAGAAGCAGCCACCCUUGAAAGAGUGCGUAAUAGCUCACUGGUCAAGUGAUUCCGCGCCGACAAUUUAGCGGGGCUCAAGCACACCACCGAAGUUGCGGCAUUGACAUUUUUGGUAGGCCUUCGUGGUCCAGCCGUGUUGAUGGGUAGGAGAGCGUCGUGUGGCGAGUGAAGCGGCAGAGUGAUCUAGCCGUGGACGCCACACGAGUGAGAAUGCAGGCAUGAGUAGCGAAAGACGUGUGAGAAACACGUCCUCCGAAAGACCAAGGGUUCCAGGGUCAAGCUAAUCUUCCCUGGGUAAGUCGGGACCUAAGGCGAGGCCGACAGGCGUAGUCGAUGGACAACGGGUUGAUAUUCCCGUACCGGCGAAGAACCGUCCCAACCAAUCCAGUGGUGCUAAGCGCCCGAAUCCAUUCACCGUCACCUUCGGGUGACACCGGAUGGCCUAGCGCGCGACCCCAUGCUGGUGCGGUUAGCGUAUUAACAGGUGUGACGCAGGAAGGCAGCCCAGCCAGGCGAUGGUAGUCCUGGUCCAAGUGCGUAGCCCGAGUCCUAGGCAAAUCCGGGACUCAUGAGGGUGAGACACGAUGGGAAUAAAAAGUGGGUGAUCCUCUGCUGCCAAGAAAAGCAUCGACGCGAGGUUCAAGCCGCCCGUACCCCAAACCGACUCAGGUGGUCAGGUAGAGAAUACCAAGGAGAUCGAGAUAAUCGUGGUUAAGGAACUCGGCAAAAUGCCCCCGUAACUUCGGGAGAAGGGGGGCCCGCCACUUACUAGGUUUUACACCGAAAGGGUGUGUGGGCCGCAGAGACCAGUGGGGAACGACUGUUUACUAAAAACACAGGUCCGUGCGAAGUUGCAAGACGAUGUAUACGGACUGACGCCUGCCCGGUGCCGGAAGGUUAAGAGGACGAGUUAGCCCUUGGGCGAAGCUUUGAAUUUAAGCCCCGGUAAACGGCGGUGGUAACUAUAACCAUCCUAAGGUAGCGAAAUUCCUUGUCGGGUAAGUUCCGACCUGCACGAAUGGCGUAACGAUUCCCCAGCUGUCUCAACCACGAACUCGGCGAAAUUGCAUUACGAGUAAAGAUGCUCGUUACGCGCAGCAGGACGGAAAGACCCCGUGACCUUUACUACAGCUUGGUAUUGGUGUUCUGUGUGGCCUGUGUAGGAUAGGUGGGAGACUGUGAAACCCGGACGCCAGUUCGGGUGGAGUCAUUGUUGAAAUACCACUCUGGUCAUUUGGAGCAUCUAACUUCGGACCGUAAUCCGGUUCAGGGACAGUGCCUGGUGGGUAGUUUAACUGGGGCGGUUGCCUCCCAAAGAGUAACGGAGGCGCCCAAAGGUUCCCUCAACCUGGUUGGCAAUCAGGUGGCGAGUGUAAGUGCACAAGGGAGCUUGACUGUGAGACUGACAGGUCGAGCAGGGACGAAAGUCGGGACUAGUGAUCCGGCAGUGGCUUGUGGAAGCGCUGUCGCUCAACGGAUAAAAGGUACCUCGGGGAUAACAGGCUGAUCUUGCCCAAGAGUCCAUAUCGACGGCAUGGUUUGGCACCUCGAUGUCGGCUCGUCGCAUCCUGGGGCUGGAGUAGGUCCCAAGGGUUGGGCUGUUCGCCCAUUAAAGCGGUACGCGAGCUGGGUUUAGAACGUCGUGAGACAGUUCGGUCCCUAUCCGCUGCGCGCGUUGGAAGUUUGAGAGGAUCUGACCCUAGUACGAGAGGACCGGGUUGGACGAACCUCUGGUGUGCCAGUUGUCCUGCCAAGGGCACGGCUGGUUGGCUACGUUCGGGAUGGAUAACCGCUGAAAGCAUCUAAGCGGGAAGCCGGCCUCAAGAUGAGACUUCCAUGAACUUCGGUUCGAGAGGCUCCCAGCAGAUUACUGGGUUGAUAGGCCAGAUGUGGAAGCACAGCAAUGUGUGCAGCUGACUGGUACUAAUAAGCCGACGACUUACAAACUU